UACGUAGGGUGCAAGCGUUGUCCGGAAUUAUUGGGCGUAAAGAGCUCGUAGGCGGUCUGUCGCGUCGGCUGUGAAAACCCGGGGCUCAACCCCGGGCCUGCAGUCGAUACGGGCAGACUAGAGUGCGGUAGGGGAGACUGGAAUUCCUGGUGUAGCGGUGAAAUGCGCAGAUAUCAGGAGGAACACCAGUGGCGAAGGCGAGUCCCUGGACAACACCUGACACUGAGGCACGAAAGCUAGGGGAGCAAACAGG
rnacentral:rRNA from 1 species